CCUACGGGUGGCUGCAGUGGGGAAUAUUGGACAAUGGGCGAAAGCCUGAUCCAGCCAUGCAGCGUGUGUGAAGAAGGCCUUCGGGUUGUAAAGCACUUUCAGUGGGGAAGAAAGCCUUGGGGCUAAUACCCUCGAGGAAGGACAUCACCCACAGAAGAAGCACCGGCUAACUCCGUGCCAGCAGCCGCGGUAAUACGGAGGGUGCGAGCGUUAAUCGGAAUUACUGGGCGUAAAGCGCGCGUAGGCGGUCUGAUAAGCCGGUUGUGAAAGCCCCGGGCUCAACCUGGGAACGGCAUCCGGAACUGUCAGGCUAGAGUGCAGGAGAGGAAGGUAGAAUUCCCGGUGUAGCGGUGAAAUGCGUAGAGAUCGGGAGGAAUACCAGUGGCGAAGGCGGCCUUCUGGACUGACACUGACGCUGAGGUGCGAAAGCGUGGGUAGCAAACAGGAUUAGAUACCCUAGUAGUC
rnacentral:rRNA from 1 species